rnacentral:rRNA from 1 species
AUACGGAGGGUGCAAGCGUUGUUCGGAAUCACUGGGCGUAAAGCGCGCGCAGGCGGCUUGAUAAGUUGGAUGUGAAAGCCUACGGCUCAACCGUAGAACUGCAUCCAAAACUGUCAAGCUAGAGUCUGGGAGGGGAAGAUGGAAUUAGUUGUGUAGGGGUAAAAUCCGUAGAGAUAACUAGGAAUACCAAAAGCGAAGGCGAUCUUCUGGAACAGUACUGACGCUGAGGCGCGAAAGCGUGGGGAGCAAACAGGAUUAGAAACCCCAGUAGUCC